rnacentral:sRNA from 1 species
AUUUCUGCCAGCUUCUGCCUUCUGAGUGCUGGGAAUACAGCACUAUAGUUGCAGCAAAGUGACUAAGACAUAUCUGCCUCGGAGAUUGACACUGCUGUCGGAGGAAUGGAUGUUGACUGCUUUACUUACUUCCUGCUCAGAGGAGUGGCAUCUAGAGGUAUCAGUCUAAGUGAAGGAUGGUUCAGGGUACCGUGCCCAAAUUCUAGUGGGCAGUGUUUCUGGGAUUCUAUCUGCGGUACUUUCUCUAGCAGCUGUUUUGCAUAUAUGCAUAUAGUUUCAAUGAAGUUGUAUCACUUCCUCAAAGAGCCAUAGACUGUCUAACGAAACCUUAGUACCAAGCAUGAGAAACCUUCUUUUCUGUUGUUGGUCAGGGGAGUCUAAGAUACUCCAAAGACGAUAUAGGCCAUUGCUAUUACCUUUGUCCCCAGAAGUUGAAGAUUAUGUCCCUAGUGCUGACGUGCUCUUCAGACAUAGGAUUUGGAGGAUUUGAACUGGACCUAACCUGAAAGCCUCUUCCCCGAAGACUAUCUUUCAUAGUAAUGGAGAGUGCUGUGUAGACUGCUAAAAGAGGGAAGCAAUCAAUAGUCCUACCAAUCCAUGAGGCUUAUAUGACCCAAAUAGUGACCAGCAUUAGCAAGAUACAGGUGCUAAUAAACUGCUGUCUAAUUAGACUUAAGACCUGCUCAACAGUAGGGAAAUCAUGCCCGGUACUACAAACCCAGUCAGCUACCUGUGACUAAUGAGGUCACAGAUUUGUGAGGAGAACCUACUGAUGUCAUGUCCCUGUAACAAUAAUUAACCUAACUGCUUUCUAAAUAUUUGUCCUUAUACCCACAGAUAAAUGUAGCCCUCACUCGUCAUAAAAGAAGCAUGUCUUUGCAGAAAACAGACAAUUUCAGAAAACUGCAGCUAGUCAAAAUGCAGUGAAGAACUGAAUGUAGGUUUGCCCAAGCACCUCUGAAGUUCAUGAAACAUCAUAGAAGGAUGGAAAGUUUUAAACCAAGGCGAUGCUGUCCUGCAGUUAAGUAGUCCUUCUUUAGAUGCCUGUCCUGCAGUUAAAUGGUCCUUCUUUAGAUGCCUAUACUUUAAUACUGUAUAUUUAUUGAUAUCUAUAAACAAGAAGGCUUUUUUGCGUGUUCUUGAACUUUACAUAAAGGGAACUAAACAGAAAAAAUGGAACAGAAUUCAGAACAAUAUAUUUUAAGCAAUUUCAGUUAUUAAACUGCUUCUUUUCCUUCCUUCCAUACCUCCCAUCUCCCUUCCCUCCUCUCUUUUCCUCUGCCCAUCCAUACCUUUUCUCCAAUUCUCAAUUUCUUGCUGCCUUACUUUUCCUUAGUGGUGUGCAAAUAGUUGUGUGGUUGUUCACCUGUUUUCUUCAUUUGUACCCUCUUAACUAAAAUAUCUCUUGUGCCAAAGGAAUCCUUCUGUGCCAAAUCCUUGUACUUAAGAAGUCACUGGCAGCAACUUAGAGGUCUGCUGAAGUGUUUGCAAAUGCCUACGAUCCUAGCAUGUGCUCAGGAGGAGCUGGCUGGCCCUGGACAAGGUCCUGUUGCACUUUCCCAGGGCUCAGGUAUGCAUCUAAACUGUCUCUUAUGAGCAUGUUGGAAUCAGGAAAGUUAUGCACAUCAAUGUCUGUAAGGCUCAGAAUAUCUAAUGGAAAUAGUGCUUACAGGAAGCAGAUGAGCUCUACGGUGAGUGGCUGCUUACUGCUACUGUCCUUGUCAGAAUAGACAUAGUAAUUUUGGAGAUGGGUCAUAGCUCUUGAGUGGAGUAUGGCCAUAUGUUUGAAGUGACCCAGGAUAUGUCUUUGAUUUAUUAUAAAAUAGUCACUGCCCAGAGAGCCGCAUGUGGCAGGUGAGGUCAAGGUCAGUGCUUGGCUUUGUGGCGCUGUGCAACUGUCCUCACCCCAUACGUGGGAGGUGACUCAGGCCACUGUAGGAAGGAGUUAUUCAGAAAAAUACUUUUUGAUGACCUAAUUUUGGGCAGUUGAAAGUGCCACAUUAUUGCUGAAAUGAACUUUGGACAACAGAGUGACUUUCUGUCUGCUUUCAGUCCUCUUUUCCACACUCUACUUCUUUUGCUGCUGUACCAGCAAUGGUGAAGAAAGAUAAUAUUUGACCUUCCAAUGGGACAGAUUGGGAGCAAUAGAGGUAUAACAAUCUAAAGCAUUUUAGAAGAUUCUUUGUGAGAACAAUUUUAGGUUAUUCUUAAAGAUACUCAUUAGCAAAUUCAUUGGUAUACAUAUAUUUCUGUUUAACUUCUUUUGAUGCUGUUAUUAAGAAAAGUUAAAUGUCUAGCAACAUGUAUACAGUGGUAUCAAACAGGUACUCUUUUGGUAUUCUGAAACCAAAGUCAAAGAAGUGUUUCUCCAUCACCUGAAGCUUCCUUUAUUCCUUUAAUGCAUUCCACCAUGGAGUAAUAUGGUAUCAAAUCGAUGUGUGUGUGUGUGUGUGUGUGUGUGUGUGUGUGUGUGUGCGUGCAUGCAUUUAUAUAUCAGUGUGUAUACAGUUAAUGUGAAUUUUAAAUGUAUAAACAAUGUAUACACUAUAGAUACUAUAUGUAACCCCAAUUUCCCUCUCCAACUUCUGUCAUGUCCCCCCAAACAUGCCUGCUCCUAAUUUCAUAUCUUUUUUUGUAACUCUAUUAGUCCAAUUAUUGUUCCCCAUAGGAAACCUACUCAAGACCCAGCUAUACCACUUCUGAGCAUAUACCCAAAAGAUGCUCCACCAUUCCACAAAGAC